rnacentral:rRNA from 1 species
AGCGAACGCUGGCGGCAGGCUUAACACAUGCAAGUCGAGCGGGCGUAGCAAUACGUCAGCGGCAGACGGGUGAGUAACGCGUGGGAACAUACCUUUUGGUUCGGAACAACACAGGGAAACUUGUGCUAAUACCGGAUAAGCCCUUACGGGGAAAGAUUUAUCGCCGAAAGAUUGGCCCGCGUCUGAUUAGCUUGUUGGUGAGGUAACGGCUCACCAAGGCGACGAUCAGUAGCNGGUCUGAGAGGAUGAUCAGCCACAUUGGGACUGAGACACGGCCCAAACUCCUACGGGAGGCAGCAGUGGGGAAUAUUGGACAAUGGGCGCAAGCCUGAUCCAGCCAUGCCGCGUGAGUGAUGAAGGCCCUAGGGUUGUAAAGCUCUUUUGUGCGGGAAGAUAAUGACGGUACCGCAAGAAUAAGCCCCGGCUAACUUCGUGCCAGCCGCCGCCGUAAU